GUCACUGCUCCUCGUUCCCGGCGUUCUGAAGCAUUAAGAAAAAAAGAUGGCAACCUCCUCCACAACCUUGACUGUAUGGAUAAUCGGAGACAGCUAUGUCCGGCGUGGAGCCCAGAGAGCUACAGAGACCAUCGGCAGCAACCUUGGCCUCGACCUUCGCGCCUGCUGGUUCGGUUG